GCCAGGUAGAGUCUAGAAUCUUCAAACUGCAGUUUCCAGAAAUCAAGAUAGCAGCAUGUGGGCCAUAGCUAGCAGGGGUUUAAAUUCUUGACCUACAGGAGUUUGAGAGCAGCCUGGCCAACAUGGUGAAACCCUAUCUCUAUUAAAAAUACAAAAAUUAGCAGGGCAUGAUGGUGGGUAGUCCCAGCUACUCAGGAGGCCGAGGCAGAAGAAUCACUUAAAUCUGGGAGGCAGAGGUUGCAGUGAGCUGAGAUUGUACCACGGCACUCCAGCCUGGGCAACAGAGUGAGACUCCAUCUCAAAACAAAAACAAAAGAAAAAUAAUUCUUGGCCUAAGCCAUGGCCAAAAAAACCAGAAAGUCCAUUUAUUUAACCACAAAGCCAACAUAGCCAAAAAUCAGACGUAGGGCAACUUAGGUUGAAGUCAUAGCCUUACCAGAACUCAUAGAAAAAUCUCAGUAACUCACUGGGAAUGAGGGGGACCUCAAAAAUCUUAAUAGAUACAUUCAGUCCAAUUCCCCUCAACUCAUAAACCCUAUUGGGCUUUCCUGCUAGCAGAAACAGCAGCUCCCUCCCUGUCUGAUGAAGCUGUCCUUACCUUGCUUAAGGACCACACGUGGCCUUUCCUGAGAUAGUUACUGUGUAUAAAGAGCCCAGUUGUCUUCACGCCCCACUCUCAGAACCAGCUGCAUGAUUUGCAGGACCCCAGUGCAAAAUGACAAUUCAGAGCCCGUUAUUAAAAAAAUUGAGAAUUUCAAGGCAGCAACAACAGCAAAGCAUUAAACCAAGUGUGGGACCCUCUAAAGCACAAGGCUCUGUGUGACUGCAUGGUCAGAGGCCCGUGAAACUGACCCUGCCCAUGCUACCUUUCCAUCUUUACCUCUAGAUCUAUAAUUAGAUUAAUUGAGCAUAGGGAAAUUCACCAAGUCACACUCAGAAAACUGCUUACACACCAAAGUAAUUUCAAGAUUUUGCUAAUUUAUAGUGGUUAAAGCCUAAGGGUUAUACGGUGGGAAUGGAUAUUUAGUGUCUUUCCUAGAUUAGCAAAGGGGAAACCUAAGUUUAGAUUGUGCAGAAUUUAUUUAUAUGGGUGUGUUUGAUAGUGUCAGGAUUCAAUGUGCUAGCUAACUCAGGCAGCUGGAGGUGGUUCUUGCUCAGUUACUUGAACUAUAGACUCAAUGGUAACCUAUGCUGAAUGAAGAUGAGAUGCCAGAAGUUGCUAGGUAUAAUUUAGACAAAAUGAUCCAAAGGAUUAGGGAGACGACAGGAAGGUUCUAAUUGCAACUCAGUCAGCUAGUUCCUACCUUGGCACCUGAGAAGACCCAGAACACAUUCACUUUAAAAAGUAUCACGUGUUGGCAUCCUUGAAAAGCACAGAGGCAGCCAUACUUGGAAGCUUAGAGAUGAAUGUGGGAGAUGCUGCCAUUAACCUGGGUCCCUGAGCUCAGUGUGGAUUAUGGGGUACUAGGGUACAAACACCGUGUAGCCAUGCUCAACUUCCAGACACAAAGUGGAUGUGGUCAUUGCAAUAGGAAGCAGGGCCAAGGAAGUCAUCCAAAUUGUGGAUCAUAGAGUUCCUAGGACUGAAAAGUAGAUGGACCUCCUAGGAAAGGCUGGACUGAUUUGUAUACCAGAAAGCAAGACAGAAGAAAGAAGAGAGAGAGAGCAAAAGAGAGCGAGCAAGUGAGAGAGGGAAAUAAAGAGGAAAGGAAGGAAGAGAAAGGAAAGGAAAGGAAGGGAAGGGGAAGGGAGGGGAGGGGAGAAGAGGGGAGGGGAGGGGAAAGGAUGGGAGAAAGAGAAAGAAAGAGAAGGAAAGAAAGAAGAAAGAAAGGAAACACAUGAAAGGCAAGAAAAGGAAGGAAGGAAGGAAGGAAAGGAGGGAGGGAGGGAAAGGAGGGAAGGAGGGAGAUCUAGGCCAGGCGUGGUGGCUCACGCCUGUAAUCCCAGCACUUUGGGAGGCUGAAGCAGGUAGAUCAUUUGAGGUCAGGAGUUCGAGACCAGCCUGGCCAACAUGGUGAAACCCUAUCUCUACUAAAAAAGUACAAAAUAUUAGCCAGGCAUGGUGGUGGGUGCCUGUAAUCCCAGCUACUUGGGAGGCUGAGGAAAGAGAAUCACUUGAACCUGGGAGGAAGAGGUUGCAGUGAGCCGAGAUUGUGCCACUGCACUCCUGCCUGGGUGACAAAGACUCUCGAAAAAAGAGAACUCUAGAUCUGGCAGACAGAAGCCUGACUUGAACUUACAUGUAUGGGAAAUUCAUGGCCAUUCAACCAAUUCCAAGACCUAAGACAGGUCAUAGAGCCCCUUGAUCAAAGGAAGGUCAGGAACCCUUGAAGAAAGACAUUGUGGUAACGUUACAGGAUGCUAUGGAUCUUCCUAGACUAUUAAAAAGGGAGCUUCAGAUGCUCACCAGUGUAAAUGUGCACCACAGCAAAGGAAAUCCUAAAACCUUUGAGAGAUUAUUGAUGCUGGUGCUGAGCUCUUACUGAGACAACAGUUAGAGGGGAUGCUCAUGGGGGUCAGAGAGUAAAUGGUGCUCAGGCACAAAUCCACCUCACAUUAAGCCUCAUGAGUCUGUAAACCCAUUCUGUGGCUAUUUUCCCCAGCUCCUGAGUAAGUAGUCAGAAUAGACAUUCUUGGCAUCGGGCAGAUGCCCACAUUGGCUCUCUGAACAAUGGGGUUAAGGUUAUUGUGUCAGGGAAGGUCAAGAGGAAACCCUGGAACUCCAAUUUGUUAGUAAUGCUAAAGUAGAUAAAGAGUAAAUAAAAUAUAAACCAGAAGAAUAAUAUUUUACCAAAUGGAGAAUAUUAGCAAAAAGACAGAAAUUAUAAAAAGGAAUCCAAUGGAAAAUCUGGAGUUGAAAAGUAGAAAUAACUGAAAAAUUCACUAGAGGGGCUCAACAGCAGAUUUGAACAAGCAGAAUAAUCAGUGAACUUAUAGAUUAUCCAGGCUGAGAAAGAGAUAUAAAAAGGAAUGAAGAAAAAUGAACAGAGCCUAAGAGAUGUAUAGGAUGCUAUCAAGUGGACCAACAUACACAUAUUGAGAGUCCCAGAAGGAGAGGAGAAAAAGAAAGGGACAGAGAGUAGAUUAGGAAUUCCCAGGUGCUGGACAUGAAUGGGGAGUGGCUAUAGGGUUUCUUUUGGAGUGACAAAAUGUUCUAGAAUUAGAUAGCAGUAGUAUUUUACAACACUGUAAAUACACUAAAAACCACUUAAUUAUACACCUAAAAAUGGUUAAAAUAGUGAAUUUUUGUAUGCAAAUUUUAUCUUAAUAAAAGAAAAUCAUAGUCUCAGUUCCUCCUGCCUUCCCUUCAUCAAUAUAAACCCUCACUGGAUGCAACUUACCCAGCACCAAUGUCUUUACUUGUACCAUUUCCUCUACCUUUUGCCUUGACCUCUCUUUGUCUACCUCUAUCUGAGAAAAUCCUACUCAGGUUUAAAAAUCUUGCCCAAAUGCUAUCAUGAUUCUCAUUCCUCAUAACAACUUUUGUAAUUCUUUAAAAUAUUGUAGUUUGGAAGUGGAUAGCUAUUGAGAAGACCUGGGCUAUCCAGUCUAAGCCCAACUGGAAAGUUUUGCUAAGUAUCAAUUUGUUAAAUUGCACGUUAAAAAAACACAUAAUAUAAAACUACUCUGUUAACCAUAUUGAAGAGUGCAGUUCAGUAGUGUUAAACAUUUUCAUACCAUUGUGCAACAACUGAGUAUCACUGAAAUCUUGAUUGGUGAAGUUUUCCCUAACCCCCUAAUUGGAAUCAAUGACUCCUCCCUCUGUAAUUCUAUAGCAUUUGGGGCAUGCUCUUGUUCUAGACCACAUUUCUUUCCAGUUAGCUCUUGUGUCUGUUCCUCUCACUAAUGUUUGAGCUCCUUGAGGACAGGGCUUGUGGCUAAUUCACUUCUGAUCUUCAUGGCCUGCACAUUGUGACACUAACUAAAUGCUCAUCAAGGACAGAAUAAAGGGAUGAAGAUGGCAGCAUCAGGUACCAAGGCUGCCAGCAUCAUAAGAACUGGAGGUGUGAAGUGAAGGAGACAAAGAAGGACUCUUCACCACUCAGGUUUCCUCCUCUUCCUCUGCAACCUGGUCUCGCAUCUAGCCUGAGCCCUGGCCAAAAGCAGGGGCCAUGAUAAUCAUUCCUUGGGUUCCAGGGUCUCAUCAGUGGCUGGCCUCUAGAAAAAUCCUACACCAGAAUAGUUGCAUGGCUAAAUCCUCUAGCAGCUGAACUGCUAUGAUUCAAAACUGUUUGUUCUACGUAUGAAGAUUUUUCUAGCUUCCAACUCUUUCUAGCUUCCAACUCUCCUGGACUAUAAGAUCAUGUGAAACAUCCCCCAAUAGUACCAUUGGCUCCCUACCUUGCAUGACCAACUAUACAAUAAGAUGGCUACAUGGCAAACUCACUUCUUGGUUUCCCAAUAAAUGUUUCUCCAGGGAGGGGAUUAGAAAGCCCCUUGAUUUUCUCCCCCCUUUGCCCUCCUGCUGCCACUCCCUGGGUGUCUCCAGAUCAUAUUGGCUUUGGCCCUGCAGGCUGCACAUAGUGAAGGGGUAAAACUCUAAUUAGCUUGUCUGUGGCUUUCUUCCGCUUUUGCUAAGGGCUCAGAAAGGAGGCUGAAAAAGAGAACUAAAGUGAAACAUUUUUGUUAUGUUUUUUUCCAACUAAUCCUGCUUCCCUUGAAAGGAUCACAAGUUGGCUGCAUUAUUCUGCCCCUACAAGAUGAAUCUCCAGUUGCCAGAUGCUUGGGCAUGAACUAAAUGGCCUGGCAUUUCAUUUCUUCCUGUCCAAUAAAAUGAGAAUAUUUAAACCAGAUACAGAAACGUCCUUUUAUUAAAAACAUGUCUUUAUUGUGUAGCUGGGUAUGCUGGGAGUAGAGUUCAAUAUUUCUCGGCCUUUGGAUGCUGGAAACAGGGACAAAACUGCCACUAUAAAAGUGCCAGACAGUUACAUAAUGCGACUCUAAACUAAUGGUUCUCAACCCUGGCUGCCCAACAGGAACAACUAGGAGCUGUAAAUGAAAGGGUACCUGCCAGCUUCCCCCUUCCUACCUGAAUGGGCCUCCAGCAUAGGCAUUAAAAACAAAAUGAAGCAAAGCACUACAAAAAAAAACUGCCUUCUGCAUAAAGAUACUAUGCAGCCAGGAUUGAAAAAUCACUGCUCUAAGGGUAAAAGAGGUUCUUUCCCUUUGGAAUAAACACUUUAUUCUGGGAGAAAUUAUUUAGGGAGUCCCCUUGAUAAGAAGAUACAAGUUAAGGCCCUUGGAAUAGCUCUGAAUAUCAGUAAACUGAUGCAAACACUCUAGACUGAUCUGUUAAUUAUCUAUUGCUGUUUAACAAGUUACUACAAACUUAGGGGCUCAAAACAACACACAUUUAUUAUCUCACAGUUUCUAUGGUUCAGGAAUCUAGGCAUGGCAUAUCUGGGUUCUCUGCAUCAUGGUCUGUCACAAGCCUGCAGUCAAGAUAUCGGGCAGGGCUAGGGUCUUAUCUGAAGGCUCGACUGGGAAGGAUCCAUUUCUAAGCUCACAUGAUGGUUGGCAGGAUUUGGUUUCUUGCAGGUUGUUGAACUGAAGCCCUCAAUUCCUCCCUGGCUGCUGGCUGCCUUCAGUUCCUUGCCAAGUGUGCAUCCCCAGCAUGGCUGCUUGCUUCAUCAAAGUGUGCAGACUAAGAGGGCAAAAGAGAAAGUCUGCAACAAGAUGGAGCCUGCAAAUAUAUAUGAUCCCUCAGGAAACGGACUACUCACUGGAGUGCAGUGACUGGCUAUCGUGUCUCAUGUCUACUGAGAACCAUGAGGACCAUCUCUGUGCUCGCCUCCCUUUCCUGCCCUCACACUUGAGCUCCCACUCCCUUGCCCCCACCCCUGUAGGCAUCUAGGGAGAAUGAAAUAUACUUUAGAAGGUGACAGGAGGAAGUGGUCAUUCCUGCAGUGAAUGCAAGGAGAGGUAACAACAAAACGCUGUACGUUGCUCUGGGCAUUUCCUUACAUCUUUAGCCUUGACCUUGCCUCUGAGCUCCAGAUUCAUAUCCAGUUGCAGACCUGCCAUCUCCACAUGGUUGUCUAACAGGCAUGUCUAAUUUAGCAAGUCAAAACCAGAGCUCCAGGCUUCCUGCUUCACACUUCCUUCCCUCGGCAGAGGGCACCAACAUCUACCCAGCUGCAGAAGUUAAAAUCACUCAGAGCCAUUCUUGAGUCUUUACUUUCUCAUUCCCCUCCCUCAAUACAGCAGCCUGCCCUGUUGACCCAAUCGCCAGCGUGUAUCCAGAGUCCACGCGCUUUGCUCCUUCUCUAAGACCACCAGCCUGGUCCAAGCCCCCGGUGCCUGUGCUAGUGUCAUGACAUCCUACAAAUUUGCUGGCUUCCACCGUUGUCCCCACCAUGAAUAAUUUUCCACAACAUAGCCUUUGAUCCAGGCUCGCCACAAACCCACUUUGAGCUAUUCUUCCUGUUCCUUAACCCUCAGCCUGGCUCACUCCUCUCCAGUCAUACCGGACUUUCUAUUCCUUGACUGCCCAAGCUCAUUCCAGCCUUUGCACUUCUUAUUCCUUCUGCCUGGAGACCCAUUCCUUCAGAUCGUUGCACGAUCUCCUCUUCCUUCUUUAAAACUUGGUUCAGACACCCCUGAAGGUUCAGGAAGCCUUUCCCUGUGCAUUCUCUCCAAUAUAUUCCCUAGGUAAUGACAUUACUUUGUUUAAUUUCAUUCAUAGCAUGUAUUUCUACCUGCACUUGUUGUUUUACUUGUCUAUGGCCUUUCCUCUCCUUUUUUAGAAAAUUAGUUCCAUGGAAUACUAUGCAGCCAUAAAAAGAACUAUAUCAUGUCCUUUGCAGGAACAUGGGUGCAGCUGGAGGCCAUUAUCUUUAGCAAACUAACACAGAAACAGAAAACCCAAUACUGCAUAUUCUCACUUAUAAGUAGAAGCUAAAUAAUGAAAACACAUGGAUACACAGAGGGGAACAAUAGGGACAGGGGCCUACCAAAGGGUGGAAGUAGGAGGAGGGAGAGAAAUAGAAAAAAUAACUAUUGGGUACAAGGCUUAGUACCUGGGGGAUGAAAUAAUAUGUUCAACAAACCCUUGUGGCAAGAGUUUACCAAUAUAACAAACCUACACAUGUACCCCUGAACCUAAAAUAAAAGUUGUUUUUUUUAAAAGAAAAAAAAAAGCUAAUAAAUCCCUUCUUUAGAAAAAAGAA
rnacentral:lncRNA from 1 species